rnacentral:rRNA from 1 species
GAUAAACGCUAGCGGCAGGCUUAACACAUGCAAGUCGAGGGGCAGCAUAGAUUGUAGCAAUACAAUUGGUGGCGACCGGCGCACGGGUGCGUAACGCGUAUGCAACCUACCCGUCACAGGGGGAUAAUCCGGAGAAAUCUGGUCUAAUACCCCAUAACAUAUGGAUCGGCAUCGGUUCAUGUUGAAAUUUUCGGAGGUGACGGAUGGGCAUGCGUAGCAUUAGCUUGUUGGUGAGGUAACGGCUCACCAAGGCGACGAUGCUUAGGGGGACUGAGAGGUUUUCCCCCCACACUGGAACUGAGACACGGACCAGACUCCUACGGGAGGCAGCAGUGAGGAAUAUUGGUCAAUGGGCGCAAGCCUGAACCAGCCAUGCCGCGUGCAGGAUGACGGCUCUAUGAGUUGUAAACUGCUUUUGUACGAGGGUAAAGUGGGUUACGUGUAACCCUUUGAAAGUAUCGUACGAAUAAGGAUCGGCUAACUCCGUGCCAGCCGCCGCGGUAA